AAAUUUAGUUUAAUUAAAACACUUAUCUUGCACAUAAAUAUCUUAGGACCGUUCCACCCUAAAAUUUA
rnacentral:tRNA from 1 species